rnacentral:rRNA from 1 species
AUACGUAGGGUGCAAGCGUUAAUCGGAAUUACUGGGCGUAAAGCGUGCGCAGGCGGCUUUGUAAGACAGAGGUGAAAUCCCCGGGCUCAACCUGGGGACUGCCUUUGUGACUGCAAGGCUAGAGUACGGCAGAGGGGGAUGGAAUUCCGCGUGUAGCAGUGAAAUGCGUAGAUAUGCGGAGGAACACCGAUGGCGAAGGCAAUCCCCUAGGCCUGUACUGACGCUCAUGCACGAAAGCGUGGGGAGCAAACAGGAUUAGAUACCCUGGUAGUCCACGCCCUAAACGAUGUCAACUGGUUGUUGGGUCUUCAUUGACUCAGUAACGAAGCUAACGCGUGAAGUUGACCGCCUGGGGAGUACGGCCGCAAGGUUGAAACUCAAAUGAAUUGACGGGG